rnacentral:rRNA from 1 species
CAGCAGCCACGGUAAUACGUAGGUGGCAAGCGUUAUCCGGAAUUAUUGGGCGUAAAGCGCGCGUAGGCGGUUUCUUAAGUCUGAUGUGAAAGCCCACGGCUCAACCGUGGAGGGUCAUUGGAAACUGGGAAACUUGAGUGCAGAAGAGGAAAGUGGAAUUCCAUGUGUAGCGGUGAAAUGCGCAGAGAUAUGGAGGAACACCAGUGGCGAAGGCGACUUUCUGGUCUGUAACUGACGCUGAUGUGCGAAAGCGUGGGGAUCAAACAGGAUUAGAUACCCGCGUAGUCCCUGUCUCUUAUAC